AUGAACGCUGGCGGCGUGCCUAAUACAUGCAAGUCGAGCGAACAGACGAGGAGCUUGCUCCUCUGACGUUAGCGGCGGACGGGUGAGUAACACGUGGAUAACCUACCUAUAAGACUGGGAUAACUUCGGGAAGCCGGAGCUAAUACCGGAUAAUAUAUUGAACCGCAUGGUUCCAUAGUGAAAGACGGUUUUGCUGUCACUUAUAGAUGGAUCCGCGCCGCAUUAGCUAGUUGGUAAGGUAACGGCUUACCAAGGCAACGAUGCGUAGCCGACCUGAGAGGGUGAUCGGCCACACUGGAACUGAGACACGGUCCAGACUCCUACGGGAGGCAGCAGUAGGGAAUCUUCCGCAAUGGGCGAAAGCCUGACGGAGCAACGCCGCGUGAGUGAUGAAGGUCUUCGGAUCGUAAAACUCUGUUAUUAGGGAAGAACAAAUGUGUAAGUAACUAUGCACGUCUUGACGGUACCUAAUCAGAAAGCCACGGCUAACUACGUG
rnacentral:rRNA from 1 species